CCUACGGGAGGCUGCAGUGGGGAAUAUUGGGCAAUGGGCGCAAGCCUGACCCAGCAACGCAGCGUGAAGGAAGAAGGCUUUCGGGUUGUAAACUUCUUUUAAGGGGGAAGAGGAGAAGACGGUACCCCUUGAAUAAGCCACGGCUAACUACGUGCCAGCAGCCGCGGUAAUACGUAGGUGGCAAGCGUUGUCCGGAUUUACUGGGUGUAAAGGGCGUGCAGCCGGGAGGACAAGUCAGAUGUGAAAUCCCGCGGCUCAACCGCGGAACUGCAUUUGAAACUGGUUUUCUUGAGUACCGGAGAGGUCAUCGGAAUGCCUUGUGUAGCGGUGAAAUGCGUAGAUAUAAGGAAGAACACCAGUGGCGAAGGCAGAUGACUGGACGGCAACUGACGGUGAGGCGCGAAAGCGUGGGGAGCAAACAGGAUUAGAUACCCGUGUAGUC
rnacentral:rRNA from 1 species